GACGAACGCUGGCGGCGUGCUUAACACAUGCGAGUCGAACGGCAAGGCCCUGCUGUUGUGGGGUGCUCGAGUGGCGAACGCGUGAGUGACACGUGAGUAACCUGCCCUUGACUUUGGGGUAACUUCACGAAACUGGGGCUACUCCCGUAUAGGAUAUGCUGCUGCAUGGUGGGGGUUGGAAAGUCUCGGCGGUUGGGGAUGGACUCGCGGCUUAUCAGCUUGUUGGUUGGGUAGUGGCUUACCGAGGCUUUGGCGGGUCGCCGGCCUGAGAGGGUGGACGGCCACCUUGGGACUGAGAGAGGGCCCAGACUGCAACGGGAGGCAGCAGUGGGGAAUAUGGUACAGUGGGCGGGAGUGUGAGGCAGAGACGCCGCGGUCGGGAUGACGGCCUGCGGGGUGUAAACCGCUGUAGCCUGUGACGAAGCGUGAGUGACGGUAAUGGGUGAAGAAGCACCGGCUAACUACGUG
rnacentral:rRNA from 1 species